rnacentral:rRNA from 1 species
AGUGAACGCUGGCGGUAGGCCUAACACAUGCAAGUCGAACGGCAGCACAGUAAGAGCUUGCUCUUACGGGUGGCGAGUGGCGGACGGGUGAGGAAUACAUCGGAAUCUACUUUUUCGUGGGGGAUAACGUAGGGAAACUUACGCUAAUACCGCAUACGACCUACGGGUGGAAGCAGGGGAUCUUCGGACCUUGCGCGAUUGAAUGAGCCGAUGUCGGAUUAGCUAGUUGGCGGGGUAAAGGCCCACCAAGGCGACGAUCCGUAGCUGGUCUGAGAGGAUGAUCAGCCACACUGGAACUGAGAACCGGUCCAGACUCCUACGGGAGGCAGCAGUGGGGAAUAUUGGACAAUGGGCACAAGCCUGAUCCAGCCAUACCGCGUGGGUGAAGAAGGCCUUCGGGUUGUAAAGCCCUUUUGUUGGGAAAGAAAAGCAGCAGGUUAAUACCCCGCUGUUCUGACGGUACCCAAAGAAUAAGCACCGGCUAACUUCGUG